GGUGCAAGCGUUACUCGGAAUUACUGGGCGUAAAGGGUGCGUAGGUGGUUUGUUAAGUCUGCUGUGAAAUCCCCGGGCUACAACCUGGGAAUGGCAGUGGAUACUGGCAAGCUAGAGUGCGGUAGAGGGUAGUGGAAUUCCCGGUGUAGCAGUGAAAUGACGUAGAGAUCGGGAGGAACACCUGUGGCGAAAGCGGCUCACUGGACCACAACGUGACGCUGAGGCGCGAAAGCUAGGGGAGCAAACAGGG
rnacentral:rRNA from 1 species